CGCAUGCGCAUAUGGCCUAACGUUCAGCCCCGGGGCAGCGGGACCGGACCGUUGGGCGGGAGAGUGUGAGGUGAUGAUAGCAUCGCAAUUGUAGUCAGGAGACUCCAAGUGAUCGGCGAUCAGCUAAACAACGAUUACGACCAUAAUGUGCAUUUCAUCCCACGUGCUCUUCUUGCCGUCAAUGAAUUUAUUCAGCCAGAAAAUGCCAUAUUUAUUGGCAAUAUGAUAAGGAAUCUGCUUGCAGUGACUGGACUCCCAGCUGUUCGAAUUCAACCACAGAGAUCCCUGUCAGUUUGGAGGUUGGUGAUCAGAGUGGGGAUCAUGCUUCUGGAAGAGUUGCUUUAUACAUAGGACAGUUACAACUCUCUGGUAUCACUAAAUUCACCAAGCAUGUACCUGAAAAGUGAAAUGAACACUUAUGAGUAAAACAUUUCAGGUUAAUUGUUAGUUUGUAAUUAAUUUGCAGUUAGUUACUCAAGCUUGAUACCAACCUGUGAAAAUCCUGGAAAAGUUACAUGACAUUUAAGGGCAGUAAACCUAGUAAUGAUUGUAUAUUCGUUGCAGUUUCUGCACUUUUUGUUGAAGUUGGGUGUGCCAGUAUUGGCCUUAUUAUUAUACUGAUAUGUGAUGCUGCAAUAAGUGACACCUAGCUGGCCUGUCAGUAUUUCCUUUGUUGAUGUGGAUUUACUGGAGUUUCCAUUGUGUACCGUUCAGUAGGGCCAGCAGGAGCAGAUUGGAUUAUCUUUUUGCUGUAUGAUUUAUCUGCUAUUGCAGAGGCACUGCAAGUAUAGUUUAACAAAAAGCAACGAUAGGUUAGUAACAUCAGAGUCCAUUUCUCAAUCCAACUGUUAAGAAUAAUUGUGCCCUGUGGUUAACAAAUUAUAAUGUUAGAAAUCAAAUAGAUUAACAUGGAAUUCUUGUGAAAUUGCAAUUGUAUUCUGGCUGAUUUAUCACUGUGACUUUCCUGCCUAAUUAUAUACUGUGUGUAAGGCAAUCUAUCUCAUCUACAGCACAAAAGUUGUAGAGUUCCCUUAUAUUUAAAGACUAAUUGACUGGGAUUCUACAGUUAUUUACAAUUUUCUCUUGCAAAUAUUCUACCUUUUGUAUGAUUACAUUAAUUUCCAAAAGGUUUGUAUUAAAUUUCUGGUUGAACCUUAAUGGUUUGCUCACUAUAAAUGAGCAUAUGGUUUGCUCAGUUCCUGGGACUGUAUAGGAAUGGGACAGUAAUCAAAGGGAACAAAGUAAAGAGGGAAAUUAUUUGGAAAGUUAAUUUCAAAAAUUAUUUGAGAAGUUAAUUUCAAUUAACGUUUUGACCAGAUGGUAUUUCGAGGAUUAGAGGAUGUGUAAUA